rnacentral:tRNA from 1 species
AGGGGUGGUUAAACCAGCACGAACUGCUAAUUCCUGCAUCUGAGGCUAAACCCUCAGCCCCCUU